rnacentral:pre_miRNA from 1 species
ACAAUAUUCGGACCGUCGGUCUAACGAGCAAUAUCAUCCGCUCGGUGGAAGAUCUUCCUCUUCGUCGU